rnacentral:lncRNA from 1 species
UCAGGCCACAGAAAUAAUGAUACUUAGAAAACUAAGAAUUUGGGGGCUUUAUAUUUGUUGUUUUGGUUUUUAGCUUUUCUUUUUAAAAACAAACAAAACAAAACACCACAAACCCAGUUUUAAGGACUGGAAUUUUUUUGUCUGAUGUAAUCACAUGAUUCCAAAACAGGGGCUUUGCAGAGAAGUAUCAAAUAUCAUGACCAUGAUAAAAGUCACAAGAACAGGGAAUACUCUUAAUUAGUGAAUGAUGAGAUAAGGGGAAAUUAAAUCUGACUAACAGUCUUGCCUUCAGAAGUUACUAAGCCAUUCCUGUCAUGGCUGAAGCAUAAAUAUAUGUGGGAAAAAGGUUGCUCUAUUUGUGUGUUCUGUAUAAUAUUGGCAAUUAUUUCUAAGUCUGUGGUGUCAGGACUCAGUCCUCUAUGAGGUCAUUUGGCUCCGCAUCCCCAGAUACUCACUGGCAUCAUAAUACUGAUCUUUAUUGGUAAGUCUAUACAGCCAUGCUGGUUUAUGGCUCAAGCCAGCAUGCAAGACCAAAUUCCCCAGCCAUCCAUACUGCUCCUAUAAGUUGUCUCACACUUUGGCUUAGACCUGGAGCAAAGAAGCAAAGUUGCCAAGGAGAGGAACUCAGGGUUGGAUUAAGCAGUGUUGAUACAACUGAACCCACAAUGAAUAAAAAUCUGGGCAUAGCUAAUGCAGUACAGGGACACCCUUUGAGAUUCUCAGACAAAACAAAGGCAACAAGCAGAAAAAAUCCUAGAGAAUGUGAAUUUACUCAAGCUCAAAGCCUUUCAGUCUCCAGCAGCACCUAAUCCUUCAGCAGUAGCAUCACUUGUUGGAAGGUUAGCUGGCUUCAGAACUGUCACCCCAUCCCUCUACAUAGCCACCAUGUGCCUUGCUUCAGGUAAAUGCCAUGUCUGUUUGGCUCACAGCCCCUGGGCAGCCAGAGCAGCACUGAGCUCUCCCUGCCAAACUCGGCUGUGACUGGGGAACAGCUCUGAGCAUUCCACCAAGACAACAGUAUCCUCCCCCACUUUUCUCAUCAUCUACUAAUUUUGUUAUGCUUUCCCAUAAAGAAAACAAAACAAAACAAAUAAACUCAUCUGGCAAGAAUUACUCUUCCUCA